rnacentral:rRNA from 1 species
AUUGAACGCUGGCGGCAGGCCUAACACAUGCAAGUCGAACGGUAACAGGAAACAGCUUGCUGUUUCGCUGACGAGUGGCGGACGGGUGAGUAAUGUCUGGGAAACUGCCUGAUGGAGGGGGAUAACUACUGGAAACGGUAGCUAAUACCGCAUAACGUCGCAAGACCAAAGAGGGGGACCUUCGGGCCUCUUGCCAUCGGAUGUGCCCAGAUGGGAUUAGCUAGUAGGUGGGGUAACGGCUCACCUAGGCGACGAUCCCUAGCUGGUCUGAGAGGAUGACCCGCCCCACUGGAACUGAGGAACGGUCCCGACUCCUAACGGGGGCCGCAGUUGGGAAUAAUGGCCAAUGGGGGGAAGCCUGAUGCAACCCUGCCGGGGGUAUGAAGAAGGCCUUCGGGGUUGAAAGUUAUUUUCGCGGGGAUGAAGGGAGUAAAGUUAAUACCUUUGCUCAUUGACGUUACCCGCAGAAGAAGCACCGGCUAACUCCGUG